rnacentral:rRNA from 1 species
GGAUGCCUUGGCGCUGAUAGGCGAAGAAAGACGUGGUAGGCUGCGAUAAGCCUCGGGUAGGAGCCAAACAUCCUUUGAUCCGAGGAUUUCUGAAUGGGGAAACCCGGCGGGAGUAAUGUCCCGUCACCUUUUGGCUGAAUACAUAGGCUAAAAUGGAGCAGACCUGGUGAAGUGAAACAUCUCAGUAACCAGAGGAAAGGAAAUCAAAAGAGACUCCCUCAGUAGUGGCGAGCGAACGGGGAAUAGCCCAAACCGUGUGGAUACGUCCAUGCGGGGUUGUAGGACCUCAAUGUGGGAUUCGUGAUUAGGCAGGAGAAGUCGGCUGGAAAGCCGCACCGUAGAGGGUGAUAGUCCUGUAUCUGAAACCGAGAGCGACCCUAGAGGCACCUGAGUACUGCGAGGCACGUGAAACCUCGUGGGAAUCCGGGAGGACCAUCUUCCAAGGCUAAAUACUAACCUCUGACCGAUAGUGCACUAGUACCGUGAGGGAAAGGUGAAAAGUACUCCGAUGAGGAGGGUGAAA